AUACGUAUGGUGCGAACGUUGUUCGGAAUCACUGGGCCUAAAGAGCGCGUAGGCGGUUUGGCAAGUCAGGUGUGAAAUCCCUCGGCUCAACCGAGGAACUGCAUCUGAUACUGCUUGACUAGAGUGCAGGAGGGGAGAGUGGAAUUCCUGGUGGAGCGGUGAAAUGCGUAGAUAUCAGGAGGAACGCCGGUGGCGAAAGCGAUUCUCUGGCCUGCUACUGACGCUGAGGCGCGAAAGCUAGGGGAGCAAACGGGAUUAGAAACCCCAGUAGUCC
rnacentral:rRNA from 1 species